AUUCAGCUGAUGACUCCCAAAUAGGACUAAAAGCACGUCCUGGAU
rnacentral:hammerhead_ribozyme from 2 species